ensembl:lncRNA
GGACACAGUAUUCCCAAAGAAGUACUUUCCAAAAACACAAGAAUACUUUUUUUUUUUUUUAAUGCAACCCAGAUGGCAAUACCAAAUAAUAAUUAUGACGAUUUUUUAAAAAAGAUCCUAGGCCUGACUUUAGAUUAUGAAUUGGCUUGUUAUCAGGAAAAAAUACUUAUUGAAACACAGCCAUGAUCAAUGGCUCCACGAACAUAACCAGCACAAACAUUCAGGGCUUCUCAUGGCCCACCAGUGGAUUUUGGGUCAGUCUCAGUAAAAGAUGCCUUUUGGGGAGAUGCCUCCCGAAGCACUUGGACAACAAGUCUCUUCUCUGGUCCUCUCCAGGACUCAUUCUUCCUUAUGUUCCUCCUUGUCCUGGGAGGUGGGUCCUUUGCUUCCUGGCUUCCAGCUGGUCUAGCGGUGAGAUGACUGCAGGAGACCCGGGCAGGUCAGGACGUUUGUUCCCCUGGUGCUCUCUUUGUGGGAUUCCUCAGGUUCUCUCUCUGAUGGAAGGUCAGAGCACCUCCCAAGGGGGCCCUCUCCUCACGGUUCCGAGUUCUGCUAAGCACUCCCUUCCUCAACCCUAGCUCCGUGAGAAGAGCUUCCCCUGUGCACUGCUGCCUUCCUCAGUCUGGGUCGUAGAAUGAACCUAUGUGGAGCAGCCCAGACCUUUAUCUGCAGAGGAGGGAAUCCCAGCAGGACACCAGCUUGAGGCAGAGCUCCCAGCUGAGCCAGCUGACCUCCAGUGAACCCACAGCCUGGGAGAAGCACAUGCUUAUUGCUGCAUUUCACCGAGAUUGUGUGAUAAAGGGUAGCAACACCCUACAGCUACUAGCACCAGGGUUCUGCACUUACCCCACAAAUACUCCCUUUAUUAAGCCCUUGGGGAGCCACCCUAAUUUGAGUGUCAUCUGUUUCCUGUAGUGACACCAAGUGAAUGACAUAGGCACCAGCCUAGCUCUUUCCUAACAUUAUAUCAUGUUGCCAGCAAAGCUCAAAAUAUGACAUUUGAUACCAGCAGCCCGUCUUCUGUUUCCCGUUUGCUACUCAAUAUUCUCCUGAAAGCCUGUUCUUAGAAGCUAAUAAUGACAUUUAAUUCUUUUUAUGUAUUAUUAAAAUUUUCAGCCUUUUAUUUGGAAAAAUUUUGGAACAUAUAGACAAGUAGAGAUAUUAUCAAGAACCUCCAGGUACUCAUGACCCACUUUUAACAAUGAUUGACACUUUGUCAAUCUUAUUUAAUCUCUUCCUCUCCUGUUUAUUUUCUAAACCUAAUGACCUUUCAGUUUCAAGAGGGAAUCAUAGCUCUAAUCUUCCUUUCUUUUAAACGUUAAUCUUUAUUGGAGUAUAGCUGCUCUUCAAUGUUGUGUCAGUUUCUACUGCACAGCAAAGUGCGUCAGUAAUACACAGACAUACAUUCACUCUUUUUCGGAUUUUCUUCCCAUUUAGGUCACCACAGGGCACUGAGUAGUUCUCUGAGCUCUACAGCAGGUUCUCAUUGAGGGAAGUUGCUCAGUUGUGUCCGACUCUCUUCGACCCCACGGACUGUAGCCUACCAGGCUCCUCCAUCCAUGGGAUUUUCCAGGACUUUGAUUCCUGCCCCCCAAGGCAGGAAUGGUGUGCUACUCAUCUCUUUAAGUAUCUCCAGUGCCUGGCAUACAGGAAAUGCCUCAUAAGAAGAUCUGACCAGUCGAUCCUAAAGGAAAUCAGUCCUGAAUAUUCACUGGAAGAACUGAUGCCGAAGCUGAAACUCCUAUACUUUGGCCACCUGAUCCCAAGAACUGACUCAAUGGAAAAGACCCUGAUGCUGGGAAAGACUGAAGGCUGGAGGAGAAGGGGAUGACAGAGGAUGAGAUGGUUGGAUGGCAUCACCGACUCAAUGGACAUGGGUUUGGGUGGACUCCGGGAGCUGGUGACGGACAGGGAAGCCUGGUAUGCUGCAGUCCAUGCGGUCGCAAAGGGUCAGACACUACUGAGCAACUGAACUGAACUGAACUGAAUAUAUCCAAUUCCAAAUAUAGAUACAGUUUAAAGAAUGACAAGGAAAUAAACACAGUCACUACCUAGUUUGAAAUAGAAGAUUAGUCAUUUGAAGCACUAUGAGUCGUCUUUUUUUUUUUUUUUUUUUCAGGUGCAUCCCUUCCCUACCAUAUGGAAAAUUUAAAAUAUGCAGAACAAUACUAUAUGUUUUUAUGUAAAAGUAUAAAAACAUACGUAUAAUGAUAAAUACCAACUGAAGAUAGCAGUUAUCUCCGGAAGGAAAGAGAAUGGAAUUAGAUAGGGAUAUGAGGGUUUCUAACCGAUCUGUAAUGUUUCAUUAAAAAAAAAUGAUGUCAAGCAAAUGGGGCAAAAUGUAAAGAUCUGGCUGUGUUUGCUACAUUAUUCUCAGAGAGCAUAAAGCCAAAAUAGCACAAGGGGUUGAGUACACAAGUUCUGGAACCAAAUAGGUUUAGAUUUAUUUGUGCCUGCUUAAGUUACUAUCUGUAGAAGUUGUACAAAUGACUUAGCCUCCUUGCAACUCAGUUUUUCUUAUCAAUAAAAUGGAGAUUAUAAUAAUACUUAUAUUUACUUUAUAGUAUUGUUGUGAGCAUGACAUUAGUUUACGGAAAACACUGAAAGUGUUUGGCACAUAUGAGCAGGCAAUAAAUGUUAAUUAGCAGCAGUAGGAAGUUUUACAAGUUUUAUAAACUUCUCUUAAGAAACUGCAAACACACACACACACAC